rnacentral:lncRNA from 10 species
GGCCUCUACUCCCACCUCCCCUGUGACCCUCCUGGAGUGAAUUCUAGGCUGGGCCCAUUCCAUCAGCAGCCCACUCCCAUCUGUUUUCUACCUUUCACACAUUUGCUGAAAUCUCUUGUUUCAAGAGAAAGAUGGUGAAACCACCAUCCCCCACAUUUGUUCCUGGGGAAUUAUUCCUUUUUUAACUUCUCCACUUUUAUUUUGGUGGUGCAUCAGGAGCAAUGGGAGACAAAGGCUGGGCCUGCUGGUCUAUCUUGACCUGGGAGUGCUGAAUGCCUGGAUUCCAAUAGCAGUGACUGGUGGGCACCUCAUUUCACAGAUUUUAAAUAGUAAUGAGUUUACAUGAAAAUAAAGUAGUUUUGUAUAAGGUAACUUAAAAUCAUGCAAUUUACACAAAGCAAAAUGGUACUGCCUUUACAGAAUUUAAAUAGAUUUAAAGUAGGUUCUAAAUUCUAAUGGCUGCUGGGAACUACAUUUAAAAGAUGGCUUUGAAUUCCUUACCACGGCCACAUCUCACAAUGACCCAAUGAGUCAUUGCCGACUCUUUGCAGAUGAGAAAACGGAAGAUGAGAGAGAUCGAAUGACUUGUUCAAGGACACACAGUCGGGAAGUAGCAUCUCCCAGGUAAGUUGCCAGGAUUUAGCAGGGCUGAGGUCAGGGUGGAAUCUGGAAGACAAACUUCAAUUUAAAAGGGCCUGAACCUAUAAACGAGAGAAAAUAUUUGUAAAUCGUAUAUUUCAUAAGAAAUUUGUAUCCAAAAUAUAUAAAAAUCUCUACAACUCAAUAGUAAAAACACAAAUAACUCAAUGAAAAACUGGGCAAAGGGCCAGGUGCAGUGGCUCUCGCCUGUAAUCCCAGCAGUUUGGGAGACCAAUGCUGGCAGACUGCUUGAGCCCAGGAGUCAAAGACCAGCCUGGGAAACACAGAAAAACCCCACCUCUACAAAAAACAUAAAAAUUAGUCAGGCAGGGUGGCACGAACGUAUAGUCCCAGCUACUCAGGAGGCUGAGGUGAGAGGAUCACUUGAGCCUGGGAGGUCGAGGCUGCAGUGAGCCGAGAUGGAGCCACUGCACUCCAGCCUGGACAACAGAGUGAGACCCUGUCUCAAAAAAGAAAAAAGAAAAAAACUGGACAAAGGAUCCGGAUAGACAUUUCUUCAAAGAAGGUAUACAAUGGCCAGUAUGUGAAUUCUAUCUCAAUAAAACUGGUUUUUAAAAGAAAAGAAAGAGGAAAGCUAGUUGGGAAUAAAAAGAGGUCAUGAAACUAGAAUAUCUUGGUCGUGGUUCAGUGAUGGGAUGGAUGGAGAGGGGAGAACCAGGGCCAGCUGAAGUAGGGGUGGGGACAAGAGAGUCCUUAUCAGGAGUAGGGAGGUGGGUGCACAGGAGGAGACAGGACCAAGAGGACAAGUCAGUGAGUCAUUUUAACAGUUACCCCUAUCCUUUGGGUGGCCAUACCUGACUUAGAGUGGCAGUAAUCCUUGCUUUAUGGUGGCUGCGCCCACCUUCCCCCACGCUGGGGCAGGAUGUGGUCCUCUCCUGGGAAAGCUCCUCCCACCCUCACCCACCCCUACCUCCCAAGAACAGGCUCCACUUUUUUUUUGUUGUUGUUGAGAUGGAGUCUUGCUCUGUCACGCAGGCUGGAGUGGCAUGGUCUCAGAUCACUGCAACCUCCAUCUCCCAGGUUCAAGUGGUUCUCCUGCCUCAGCCUCCCGAAUAGCUGGGAUUACAUUACAGAUGUGAGCCACCAUGCCUGGCUAAUUUUUGUAUUUUUAGUAGAGACGGGGUUUCACCAUGCUGGCCAGGCUGGUCUCAAACUCCUGACCUCAAGUGAUCUGCUUGCCUCAGCCUCCCAAAGUGAUGGAAUUAUAGGCAUGAGCCACUGCACCCAGCCAGGCUCCUCUUGGAAUAACAGUUAACAUUCAUGGCAGGCACUGGGAUAAACCCUUACCAAAUUGUGUUUGCUUUUGAGACAGGAUCUCGUCUGUCAUCCAGCCUGGAGUGCAGUGGUGCAAUCACAGCUCACUGCAGCCUUGACCUCCUGGGCUCAAGCAAUCCUCUCACCUCAGCCUCCCAAUUAGGACCAGAGGCAUGCACCACCAUGCUUGGCUAAUUUUUUAUUUUUGUGUUUUGUAGAGACGGGG